UACAGAGGCCUCGAGCGUUAUGCGGAAUCACUGGGCUUAAAGCGUGUGUAGGCGGACUUCUAAGUGCCUUGUGAAAUCCCACGGCUCACCCGUGGAACUGCUGGGCAUACUGGGAGUCUUGAGCCACCUAGGGGCGAGCGGAACAAAUGGUGGAGCGGUGAAAUGCGUAGAUAUCAUUUGGAACGCCAACGGAGAAAUCAGCUCGCUGGGGGUGUGCUGACGCUGAGACACGAAAGCCAGGGGAGCGAACGGG
rnacentral:rRNA from 1 species